AAACCCCAAUUUCAUUUUCUCUCUUUCCCGUGUCUUCAAGUCUCAAAACCCCAAACCCCAAGUCUCUCGCUUUCUCUAGCGGAUCCUCCCCGAUACCCCACCGACGACCGACCGCCAAACUUGUGCCGUUGUCGUCGCGCUGCUGCUGUCCUACCUCGCCGGUUCACUUAGCCCUCGUCGGAUUUCCUCUCCACUACGUCGUUGUCUCUGCCGUUUCAACUCGUUGCAGCUUUGUGUAGUGCUCGUGUUCUUCCUCUCUGGCCUCUGUUUGCCGUCGCCGUUGUUGUGGUUAUUGUUGUUGUUUAUUUGGUGGUGUUGUUCGUGGCCAAUGGUGUUGCGCACCGCUGCUGCCGUGCCUUGCAGCCUCGCCGGAGCUUCGCUGAUGUGCACUGGAGCUUCGAAAUUCCCCCUCUAUGUUCUUGGCGUCGCUGCUCUUGUGAGCAGAGGUAUAUCAACCUCUUUCUUUUCCUCUUGAAACUCUGAUUUCCAGUCUUAUUUAGCCUAAGUUGUUGUUUAUUGUUGUUGUGUUGAUGCGUGGUGUCGGUGUUGUGUAGUUGUUGUUGCUGUUGCCGCUUGUUUCCUCCCUCUUCUCUGUUUCUUGUUGUGUGCUGUCGUUAUUGUUGGUAUAUUAAAUUCUUGGAGUAGUAGUUAUUGGUUUCUGUUCAGGUUUGGUGGUGGAGGUGUAGGUGGUGCUGUUAUUAUAAUUGUUAUUGGUGGUGAUGCGUUGUUGUAUUGGUGUUGUUGUGCCAUUUUGGGUGGUUGUUGUCUAUUGUAGUGGUUGUUAGUGCGUUGUUGCUAGUUAUAAUUAUGGAUUAAGGAUUAUGCAAAUGGGAUGUUAAAGGUCGAUAAUUUCCGAAUUGGGAAUUAGUUGUGAUUAUGAUUUCUAUUUUAGAUUAGUUUAAGUUUGGUUAUUGAAUAUCGUUAUAAUUAUGAGGUGAUUCUUGGAGGAUGAUCAUGGAGUGGAGUAUUAUUCGGAGAUUAAGGAAUUGGAUUGCGAUUCAGGUUUGAUAUACAGAGCUCAGAAUUCGAAGUGGAUCAAGAUUAAGGUGUCAUAGUGGCUUAAGGAUUAAGCUUGUAUUUUAGAUAGUCGGUUUGAGAAUAGUUAUUUAGAUUGCGUUGUACAUAAUAUUUGGGAAUUUUAGUCAAGUAUUGGUGUAUUUGAGGAUA